UACAGAGGUCUCAAGCGUUGUUCGGAUUUAUUGGGCGUAAAGGGCGCGUAGGCGGCGGGGUAAGUCGGGUGUGAAAUCUCAGGGCUCAACCCUGAAACUGCACUUGAUACUGCUCUGCUUGAGGACUGGAGAGGAGACUGGAAUUCACGGUGUAGCAGUGAAAUGCGUAGAUAUCGUGAGGAACACCGAUGGCGAAGGCAAUCCCCUGGGCCUGCACUGACGCUCAUGCACGAAAGCGUGGGGAGCAAACAGG
rnacentral:rRNA from 1 species